UACGUAGGGCGCAAGCGUUGUCCGGAAUUAUUGGGCGUAAAGAGCUCGUAGGCGGUCUGUUACGUCCGCUGUGAAAACCCAGGGCUUAACCCUGGGCUUGCAGUGGAUACGGGUAGACUAGAGGCAGGUAGGGGAGAAUGGAACUGCGAGUGUAGAGGUGAAAUUCGUAGAUAUUCGCAAGAACACCAGUGGCGAAGGCGGCUCACUGGCCCGGUACUGACGCUGAGGUGCGAAAGCGUGGGGAGCAAACAGG
rnacentral:rRNA from 1 species